rnacentral:piRNA from 1 species
AGAGCCAGGACCCAGAUGACACAGAUGAC